UCCCACCUGUGGUGGCCAAGGUCCAGUAAUGGCUGUUCUUGAACAGUGAACCAUGAGAGCCCUGGCUUGCUGUGAGCCAUGCUGUUAACACCUACAGGAGCCUCAAUGGAAAGGCUGGAAAGGUAGCUGAUGUGUCCUUGUGUUGGUCAUGUUGAUGACUGAGAGACCCUUGCUGAGCAGAGACCAGCUGAUUUGAAAUCAUCCAGAAUUUUAUUAUUUCCAAUCAUGGUCAUUUUAAAAAGCCCAGUCAUAGCUUUUAAAAUUAUUUAAUCUCAAGACUUUCAGUUGUAUUUAUUCUGGGGUGUGACAACCUGUCAAAAUGAGCCUUGAAUGUCACUGAAGUACCCACUGCUCUUUGCAAAGAUUCAAUAAAAAGCUGCAUCUGGAGAUUCCCCCUGUGUGAUCUGAAUUUUUCCAGAGAAUCUUUGACCCAGACUGUGGUGGGAUUUACUCCAGAAUAAGCAUCUGACAAAGUCAAGGAAGACAGGAUCCCAACCGUGAAGAAUUCAGAAACAGAAAAAUGUGCCUGGAUUAGCCAUGAUAUUCUGCUUCACCUCAGAAUCAGAGGUAUUGGAAUACCUACAGUAGCUUCCUUUGUGCAGUUUGAAUCAAAACAAUGCCAUUACCCCUCUCCUAGAUUUAACAAGCCAUGUCCUUCAUUAAACAAGGAGGAAUAUUUCCAUGCCUGUCUGCUAGUGCUGAGCAGAGGAAAGAGAGUGAGACUGCAGAGGGACUCUGGUUCCUUAUACCAAACCCUCCCAGUGACUUACAGAGCCUGUCUGCCUCUGAAAUGCUCAGACAGAGGCAGCAGGAGGAGCAGCUGGGGCAGCCCAGCCUCACACUUCUGUUUCCCUAGGAGGUUGAUGUCAUGGCCUGUAUCACUGUGGGAGGGGAACCGUUACCUUGUUGACAGUAAUAAGUGGUGACACCUUCAGGUUUCAGGCUGCUAGUGGUGAGAGUAUAAUCUCCUCGAUUCACUGUCAUUGAACCUUGAGGGGACCCCACAUUGGUAAUUUGUUGCACUUUUGAUGAGAAGCUUAGUAGCCUGCUGUGGUGUGAGGAUGGCCUUAGGCCUGAGCCUAAGCAACUCCAAACCUGCAGGCUUACCAGGCACACCCACAGAGUUCUCCAGUAUGGCCACAAACAAGUUACUUCCCCAAACUCUGAUAAGCAGAGUGAAGCCCCUGGCAGGUUGUCCUUGCCUAGUAAGAGGGAAAGGGAGAAGAUCAAGGUAGAGUCCACCAGACCAGAUGUUUCUGGCCCCAUGGUAAAUGAUGUCACUGAGAAAUCUGGUGGUAGCUGAUAAGGAUUGAAAGGGGGGUCAACAGCCCCAAAAUUUAAUAUACAAAAUAGAGAAAUUGAACAGGGAUUCAGCCAGCUGAAACAAGGAUGCACUCAAGCUGGAAGAGGACCUGACAUCCCAUCACUUGUCAUCAUUCCUGAGCCUCAGUGUGAUCCUCACCACUCUCAGACUCUACCGCCUCAUCUUGUUGAGAGCUGUAACAUCUCCCUAUGACCCCCUCCUCAACCGGUCAUCCACUCCACGCCAGGAAAAGCCUGCCUUGGUUCCAGACCUGAUCACCACAGUCUGAGUGAGUGUGCAUCUGCUGGACUCAAAGCCUAAGGCUUAAGACUUUUGAACAUAGGAUGCAGAGGAAAUGUCUGUGUGUUCAGAAACUAAGGAAAUUAAGUGUGUUUGCAGUGCUUAGAAUUAAUUAAUCUAGAAUUGUUUGCUGUGAAUUAAUUAAUCUAGAAUUGUUUGCUAUGAACUGAUUAUGUCUAUUGCAAUGCCUAGCAUUAAAGAUUUUCAUUUUCUUGAUUAAGAAC
rnacentral:lncRNA from 1 species